GUGCACCAGUCGCGAAAAUUUCGCAAUACGCGAAAGCGUGACGGAGCUAUCCCGAGUGCCGUCCGCUGAGGAUGGCUUUUCCCCAGUGUAGAUAGCUGGGGGAAUAAGGAGAGGGCAAGUCUGGUGUCAGCCGCCGCGGUAAUACCAGCUCUCCGAGUGGUGGGGAUGUUUAUUGGGCCUAAAGCAUCCGUAGCUGGCUAGGCAAGUUCCCCGUUAAAUCCAGCGAUUUAAUCGUUGGACUGCGGGGAAUACUGUCUGGCUAGGGAGCGAGAGAAGCCGACGGUAUUUCCGGGGUAGGGGUAAAAUCCUAUAAUCCCAGGAAGACCACCAGUGGCGUAGGCGGUCGGCUAGCACGCGCUCGACAGUGAGGGACGAAAGCUGGGGUAGCGAACCGGAUUAGAUACCCGGGUAGUCC
rnacentral:rRNA from 1 species